UCUGACCCUAGAGGCAUUGCAGGUGUGGCUGCUGUAUCACAAGUGUGUCAGUGGGUGGCAAAGAGGAGAAAGCCUUAGUCUACACUUUGUGUUCUGACCUAUGGACAUCUGAAUAAUUAGUAGCCUAAUAUU